CUUUCUGUUUUGGUGGCAUCGAGCCCCAUGCAGGACUGUAGUUGCCCCCCCAGGGAUGGAACCCAGGUCCCCUGCAGUGGCAGCACGCAGUAUUUAUUUUUGGCUGCAUCAAUUUUUCAUUGUGGCACAUGGGAUCUUCUUUAAGGUGCACGGGCUUCUCUCUAGUUGUGGCGCUUGGGUUUAGUUGCCCCAUGGCAUGUGGGAUCUUAGUUCCUGGACCAGGGAUGGAACCCAUGUCCCCUGCCCUGGAAGGCUGAUUCUUGAUCACUGAACCACCAGGGGAGCCUCUGUCCUUUUUCUUUUUAACUUGGAUUAAUUUUAGACUUACAGAAAAGUUGCAAAGAUAGGCUUACCAGUUUCCAUAUAUCCCCCUUCCAUUUUCCCCUAAUGUUACCAUCUGUACCAUAACUCCAGGACAAUUAUCAGAACCCCCAAAAUUAACAUUGUUGCAAGACUACUAACUAAAGACCUGACAGUGAACAGUGAAGGCGCUCAGCCAUACAUAUACUGUAUCCAUUCUCCCCCAGACCCCUGCCUCCCAUCCAGGCUGGAACCUAACUUUCAGCAGAGUUCCAUGUGCUAUACAAUAGGUUUCUGUAGGUUAUCCAUUUUAAAUAUAGCAGUGUGUACAUGACCUUCCCCAAGUCCUUAACUAUCCCUACCCCACACACACCCUGCAGCCAUGAGUUUGUUUUCUAAGUCUGUAUUUUUCUGUUUUGUUAAGAAAGUUCAUUUGUAUCAUUUCUUUUUAGGUUCCACAUAUAAAGGAUGUCAUAUAUUUUUCCUUCUCUGUCUGACUCACUUCACUCGGUAUGAUGCUCCAUCCCUAAGUCUUUUUCUUAUUUUAGGAUCCUGUCCAGGACCCCACAUUGUACUUGCUUCUUUCUCCCUGUGCAGUCUAGUGCAGUCUGUAAAAGCUCCUAGUCUUUCCUGAUUUCUCAUCGUUGACUGUUUUCAAGAGUACUAGUUAGUUCUGUUGUCAAAGGUGCCUCAAUUUGAUGUUUUAGCAUAAGUAGACUGAAUAUUACAGGUAUGAUGGGCACCCUCAGUGAAUUAUAUCACAGGUUCCUGAUGUUAUGCAGCUUAUUACUGGUGAUGUUAACAUUUAUCACUUAAGGUGAUUUCUACUGAGCUUCUCACUGUAAAAUCACUCCUUCAUUGUUAAUAAGCAUCUUAAGGUAGACAUUUUGAGAGUAUGCAAAUGCUGUUUCUUCUCAAACGUCUGCGCGUAUCACUCAUUAAAGGAACUAGUCUGCACCAACUACCAGUGUCUACCUAAUGGUGAUAGUUUCUUUACUUCUUUUUAAGACUGUAUUUAUUUAUUGGCUGCACUGGGUCUUUGUUGCUUCGUGGGCUUUCCCUAGGUGUGGGGAGCAGGGGCCACUCUCCAGCUGUGGUGCUCAGGCCUCUUACUUGGGCGGCUUCUCUGGUUGAGGAGCCAGCCCUCAGUAAUUUCCAUCAUGGGCUGAGUUGCCCCCAGGCACGUGGAACCUUCCCGGGCCAGGACCAGGGAUCGAACCCAUGUCCCCUGCAUUAAGGUG
ensembl:lncRNA